GACGAACGCUGGCGGCGUGCUUAACACAUGCAAGUCGAACGGAAAGGCCCUGCUUUUGUUGGUUUCUCGUUUGGCGAACGCGUGAGUAACACGUGUGUAACCUGUCCUUGACUUUGUGAUAACUUUAGGAAACUGGGUCUCAUACCGGAUAGGAUCUCCUGCUGCAUGUUGGUGGUUGGAAAGUUUCGGCGGUUGGGGCUGGACUCGCAGCUUAUCAGCUUGUUAGUGGGGUAGUGGCUUACCAAGCGUUUGACGGGUAGCCGGCCUGAGAGGGGAAACGGCGACAUGGGGACUGAGAGACGGAGCAGAAGCCUACGGGAGGCAACAGGGGGGAAUAUGGCAGAGUGAGGGGAAGCCAGAGGCAGCAACGCCGCGUGCGGGAUGACGGGCUACGGGGUGAAAACAGCUGUGGAAGGAAACGAAGAGUGAGUGACGGUAAUGGGUAAAGAAGCACCGGCUAACUACGUG
rnacentral:rRNA from 1 species